GACGAACGCUGGCGGCGUGCUUAACACAUGCAAGUCAAACGGAAAGGCCCUGCUUUUGUGGGGUGCUCGAGUGGCGAACGGGUGAGUAACACGUGAGUAACCUGCCCUUGACUUUGGGAUAACUUCAGGAAACUGGGGCUAAUACCGGAUAGGAGCUCCUGCUGCAUGGUGGGGGUUGGAAAGUUUCGGCGGUUGGGGAUGGACUCGCGGCUUAUCAGCUUGUUGGUGGGGUAGUGGCUUACCAAGGCUUUGACGGGUAGCCGGCCUGAGAGGGUGACCGGCCACAUUGGGACUGAGAUACGGCCCAGACUCCUACGGGAGGCAGCAGUGGGGAAUAUUGCACAAUGGGCGGAAGCCUGAUGCAGCAACGCCGCGUGCGGGAUGACGGCCUUCGGGUUGUAAACCGCUUUCGCCUGUGACGAAGCGUGAAUGACGGUAAUGGGUAAAGAAGCACCGGCUAACUACGUG
rnacentral:rRNA from 1 species